rnacentral:rRNA from 1 species
UACGAAGGGGGCCAGCGUUGCUCGGAAUUACUGGGCGUAAAGGGCGCGUAGGCGGACAUUUAAGUCAGAGGUGAAAUCCCGGAGCUUAACUUCGGAACUGCCUUUGAUACUGGGUGUCUUGAGUGUGAGAGAGGUAUGUGGAACUCCGAGUGUAGAGGUGAAAUUCGUAGAUAUUCGGAAGAACACCAGUGGCGAAGGCGACAUACUGGCUCAUUACUGACGCUGAGGCUCGAAAGCGUGGGGAGCAAACGGG